rnacentral:rRNA from 1 species
GCACGGUAAACGAUGGAUGCUCGCUGUUGGAUAUUUUUAUUCAGUGGCUAAGUGAAAACGUUAAGCAUCCCACCUGGGGAGUACGCCGGCAACGGUGAAACUCAAAGGAAUUGACGGGGGCCCGCACAAGCGGAGGAACAUGUGGUUUAAUUCGAUGAUACGCGAGGAACCUUACCCGGGCUUGAAAUGCAUCUGACGUACCCGGAAACGGGUAUUUCCUUCAAAGGACAGAUGUGUAGGUGCUGCAUGGU